rnacentral:lncRNA from 1 species
UGAUGGACUAGUUGGAGCACCCCUGCAGGGUUAAAUCUUUCGGAAAGUCAUGCCCCUCGUUCUGUGGCAAACUUGGAAACUUUGUUUCACAUCCGGUUCUAGAUAACUUGAAGUAAGCUUAAUUAAAAUAUGCCAACUGUGUGCGUAACCGUGACUGUCUCUUCUCAGAGUUCUGCAUCUGGAAGAGGACACGGUGGGGUUAUGCGUAACGUAAGUAGGUGUUCACGAUCAUUCAGUUGAUCAUUAUUAGUUCAUGUCCAAUUAUGCGUAGAU